GAUGAACGCUAGCGGGAGGCCUAACACAUGCAAGCCGAGCGGUAGAGUUCCUUCGGGAACUUGAGAGCGGCGUACGGGUGCGUAACACGUGUGCAACCUACCUUUAUCUGGGGGAUAGCCUUUCGAAAGGAAGAUUAAUACCCCAUAAUAUAAUGAUUGGCAUCAAUUAUUAUUGAAAACUCCGGUGGAUAGAGAUGGGCACGCGCAAGAUUAGAUAGUUGGUGAGGUAACGGCUCACCAAGUCAAUGAUCUUUAGGGGUCCUGAGAGGGAGAUCCCCCACACUGGUACUGAGACACGGACCAGACUCCUACGGGAGGCAGCAGUGGGGAAUAUUGGACAAUGGGUGAAAGCCUGAUCCAGCCAUCCCGCGUGAAGGAUGACGGUCCUAUGGAUUGUAAACUUCUUUUGUACAGGGAUAAACCUACUCUCGUGAGGGUAGCUGAAGGUACUGUACGAAUAAGCACCGGCUAACUCCGUG
rnacentral:rRNA from 1 species